rnacentral:rRNA from 1 species
UACGUAAGGUCCAAGCGUUAUCCGGAAUUACUGGGCGUAAAGCGUCUGUAGGCGGCGCAGAAAGUUAGGUGCGAAAUCUUGCGGCUCAACCGUAUAGACUGUGCUUAAAACUUCUGUGCUUGAGGUUGGUAGAGGCAAGUGGAACUUGCGGUGUAACAGUGACAUGUGUAGAUAUCGCAAAGAACACCAAUGGCGAAGGCAGCUUGCUGGGCCACACCUGACGCUCAGAGACGAAAGCGUGGGGAGCGAACGGG